GCUCCAGCCACCUCCUCUAGGCUUACGUUUUGCGUGUGAGUCAGUCCGGGAUCACUUCAUUUUCCACUUAAGAUAAGGUCUUGGCUUUUUGUCCCUUGCUGCUCCCGGUGGCUCCUUCCCAGAAGCGUUUCCAAGUUCGCAUCUGUCCCAAAGGCUUCUGCCAGUGGGAUGCUGUGCCCUGAGAGUUUAUGACUGCUUGUAGCUGCAGGAUGCUCACUCCCCCAGAGUCUCCCCUAGGCGGGUAGAUCAGUAGCUCACAAGGCAGGGUACUUGGUGCUAUUGGGGGCCGCCUGCCCAAUUGGGGACAGCAGCAGAUGGGAACCGCAGACCCCAGACUUUACCUGUAGCAUGGUUGAUUUCAAGGACAUCUCUGGCAACUUGGGAAUUGCUCCAGCAGAGCAAGAUCCUGAAAAUCAUCACCAAAAUCAUUGUGAAGAAGAGCCUUGUGCUCCCUUCUGAGUUGGCAGAAGACAAAGAGAAGUAAAAGAAGUUCUACGAAGCGAUCCCCAAGAAUUUUAGGCUCUCCAGUCUUCCAUACAGGUUAUUCAUCAUACAAGAGAGUCAGCCUACCAGCAAGUCCACAGGUCCACUACCAGUUUCCUUUUGUUCAAGACUGGUGAAUUAUCUGGGUCAAGCAAAUCUCUAAAGGGGUUCUGGAAGCAACGUGGAAAGGAAAGGACCCUACAUGGUGAUUCUCUCUACUCCUAUGGCUGUGGUAAUAUCUGGCAUUACACCAUAGAUUCACCACACACAGGUCAAGAAAGUGAAAGCCAUAGAUGCUGCCAUCAAAUGGACUGUCUCCCAGACUAUGGAACCAUUAAAGUUAAGUUUCAUUGGCACCAAGUCCUUCCAUUCCCUGUCUCUCUACUACUAAUGAGUCUUAUGUUUUUUUCAUAGUCUAACUCCCUCUACCCUCAGGUCUGAACCAGGGAGUUGAGGAAGACAAAUACAGGAAACGUAUUAGCUAAUGUGACUACAGACCAGGAAGUCAUAUUUAUCUUUACCUUUUCUCACUGAUGCCCACUUUAAGUGUCUGGUUGUAUAAGAAAAAUAGAAGCUGUGGGAGUUUAUAGUUUGAAAUUGAAAUACAGAAUUUACAAUUCCAUGCGUACCCUUCAACUGGUCUCUUGUUGCCAAAAACAGGGGAUUUUCCAUUGCCAAAAAAAAACAAAAAUGGUGUGGUGAACAGGCUUCUUGAAACACACAAUUAAAUGUAUAAAUAAGGAAAGAAAUGUAAUCCAAUGGCCAUAAAAUUAAAGAUCUGUGAAAAGUUUUUGCACCCUGAUAAGCUCUGCUGAUGCAGCAAUCCAAAUCAGAGCAAAUCAGACCAAAUUAGAAUAAGCCCCAGUUUAAUGAGUGAAGUGUUCCCAGAUGAUUCUCUGGCUCCCUCAGAGAGGAGACAGGGACUGAAAAACUACAUGUCUUUUUGGGGGGCAGUUUAAAUACCCUGAGGGAGUGGUCUUGCACAUCUUUGGGGGAGUAGCCAUGUUUGAUGGGACUUUCUGGGCAACAGGCUCUGGCAGAGUGGUGGAGGCCCACCAGGAUAUUCCAGACUCUUUGGGUAUAUGGAUGCCAGGGUGCCAGGAGCUGAGAUGGAGCUUCCACCAGGAUAUUCCAAACUCUUUGGGUAUAGGGGCAUUGGUUCAAGUCUGGCUACUUCCUGUGGGCAUGAGGUGACUGGAGAAGUUGGGAGUUGGGAGUUGGUGGACUCACAUCAGGAGGUGUGAGUGGAGGAGCAUCUGGUUAAUUGUUAUCUUGGAAACCUCAGGCAUCUGUUUCUUGAGGAAGCAGAGAAAGUAAGUUGCUAGGGAAAAAAUAGAUUAUUAACAUCUGUCCUAUUUGCACAAGGUGUAAGAGCAGAUAGGCCCUUCAUUGGGACAUUUUGGAAAUCAGGAGGGUGGAGGGUCCCAGCUGCUGGACAGACCGUGUAUCCUGAAUAGGUGCCUGCUUGAACCUGGAGAGAUGGCACCAGAAGAGAUGUCCCAGGAGCUUGCCAGCUGAGGAGUUGGUGAGGAUCACAGUAUAAAGUCCUAUCCAUUGGGUCCAAAGAGAUUUAGGAGCUAGCUGUCUGAGGAGUAUUCUGUCCCCUGGGGAGAGUGGGGCAGGCUCAGGGGCAGUUGGGUGUGUUGGUGUUGCAGCAGGGAGAUAGCUGUCAGCAUGUGAACAGAGAAGAGACCUCAAAAGGGAGAGGUAGGGGAGGUACCUUGACAGUGGAGGAGUUUGGGCUGGAAAGUUGUGAUUGAGGAGGAAGGGCCUUCUGUAAAGGAGCUCUAAAGGACUCAGGCCUGUAGGAGAGCUUGGGGUGGCCCAUAGGUGGGUAAGGGCCAUGUGGAGAAGGAAAGGCCAAGACAACCUGAGUUCAAUGGAGAGCUUAGUGAGCUGUUGUUUUAUGAGUCCAUUGGCCUCUCAACCUUUCCUGAGGAUUGUGUGAGGUAAGGAAUAUGGAGCUUCCAGGAAAUGUUGAGAGCUUCUGACAGGAGCUUCAUGACCCUAGAAGUGAAGGCUGGCCCGUUGUCCAUUUGUAUGGGGGUGGCUGGCCAAAUCUAGGAAUGAUGUGUUCCUGUAGUACUUGGGCCACCACAUCUGCUGUUUCCCUGCCAAUCCUCACGCAGUUGGUGUCCUCAAAGCUAGUGCAGAAGUUGAUGUAUCUAGAGAUCAAGGGGAUACAAAUUGGAAAGGAAGAAGUCAAACUUUUGCUGUUUGCAGACAAUAUGAUAGUAUACAUAAGUGAUCCCAAAAAUUCUACCAGGGAACUCCUACAGCUGAUAAACUCCUUCAGUAAUGUGGCAGGAUACAAGAUUAACUUAAAAAAAUCAGUAGCUCUCCUAUAUAAAAAUGAUAAAUGGGCUGAGAAAGAAAUCAGAGAAACAUCACCUUUUACAAUAGCCACAAAUAAUAUAAAAUAUCUCGGGGGUAACUCUAUGAAAGUGAAAGACCUGUAUGACAAGAACUUUUUAAGUUUCUGAAGAAAGAAAUUGAAGAAGAUAUCAG